GAUAAACGGCUGGCGGCGCACAUAAGACAUGCAAGUCGAACGAACUUAACCUAUUCUUUUAGUUUAGGAGCGGUUAGUGGCGGACGGGUGAGUAACGCGUGAGUAACCUGCCUUACAGAGGGGGACAACAGUUGGAAACGACUGCUAAUACCGCAUAAUGUCUAACCGAGGCAUCUCGGAUAGACCAAAGGAGCAAUCCGCUGUAAGAUGGACUCGCGUCCAAUUAGAUAGUUGGUGGGGUAACGGCCCACCAAGUCGACGAUUGGUAGCCGGACUGAGAGGUUGAACGGCCACAUUGGGACUGAGACACGGCCCAGACUCCUACGGGAGGCAGCAGUGGGGGAUAUUGCACAAUGGGGGAAACCCUGAUGCAGCAACGCCGCGUGAAGGAAGAAGGUCUUCGGAUUGUAAACUUCUGUUUUUAGUGAAGAAACAAAUGACGGUAGCUAAAGAGGAAGCCACGGCUAACUACGUG
rnacentral:rRNA from 1 species